CACAUCAGUAUAGUUAUGGAUAGCUUCAGCCAGGUGCCUGUAAUCAAGCAGAACUGCUGAAGAAUGGUUUAGGAAGACAAACCUGUUUAGCCAGUGUAAAAGUGUAGGGACCUUUUUCCUCUGGCAGCUACAAUUAGGUUGGCUACCGUAAGGAGCAAAUUGAUAGAAUUAUCCCCUGUGCCUGAGUUCAGAAAUCAAGCCCCAAGAAUGCUUCGAAAGGACAGUAGGGCUUUAAGAAACACCUU
rnacentral:lncRNA from 1 species